UACGAAGGGUGCAAGCGUUACUCGGAAUUACUGGGCGUAAAGCGUGCGUAGGUGGUUUGUUAAGUCUGAUGUGAAAGCCCUGGGCUCAACCUGGGAAUUGCAUUGGAUACUGGCAGGCUAGAGUGCGGUAGAGGAUGGCGGAAUUCCCGGUGUAGCAGUGAAAUGCGUAGAGAUCGGGAGGAACAUCGGUGGCGAAGGCGGCCAGCUGGACCAGCACUGACACUGAGGCACGAAAGCGUGGGGAGCAAACAGG
rnacentral:rRNA from 1 species